GCCUAUUUGGGAUACCCGUUUAAGUGAGGAAAAGUUUUUAAUUAUUAAUUCUUUUCCUUUUCUUUUUAUUUCCCCCCAAACGCCGAACCCGAGCCCUCCUUCCCCGAUCUCCCCUCUCUUCCCUUCUUCCUUGUUCUCUCGCGGACGAGUAGAAGCCGGCAAACCUCUGCGACCAUCUUCAUUCGUCAGAGGAGCACGUCAUCGGAGCUCGACUGAAACCAGCGGAAUCUAGGUCAUCUUCGACCGAGGGAUCUCUGUUCCUCGUGCGUUUCUGCUCCUGGCAAGCGGCAACCCUUCUUUUUGCUCGGCGUUGCUGGCGCAGAUCGGGUCUCGGAGCUAGCUACAACAACCCUUCUCUCCUCUGGUUUCUUACUUCCCGUCGACUUCAGCAAGCGACAGGAUCUCGUCUCCUCGUGUCAACAACCGAUGCCCCUAGAUCGAGCCAUCGCCGAUCGCCGGCGUGAAGGGGCAAUUAGGGUUCCACGGAUCGGAUCUUGGAUCCCUUGUUUGUUGCUGCUGAUUAAGACCUCGAUCGAGUGGGGAAGAAUUUCCAACAGGGAGGUCUUGCUGUGGUGUUCUGCAAUCCAGCAACGUCUCCUUCCGGCAGCAAUCAUCUAUGGUUGAGGAUGAACAGAGAGUGAAUUGUUGAUUCCAAUCUUGAUCCGAUCAGUGAGGUAAGAUUAGGUGAUCACUGCUUAAUUUCUGUGGUGAUCCGUUUGAUUCCUGUGAGGAUCUGUCUGUGGAUUUCAAUUUGUGUGCUGGGGAUUGUUCUUGAUCCAGUAGCUCACCUUUGUCUUGGCAGAACCUCCAUCCAGCAACAUCUUGGUUGACAGCAGGUCGAUCCGGGCAAAGAGGAGGUUUUGUUCCAUUCUAUUGGAUUCUAUGGAUUGAUGGGUUCCAACAGUGAUGAUCUUCAGUGGUGGAUUAAUGGAUGAGGGCUGUGAGAUUUGUUGUUCUUGGUUCUGGUAACAUUCCCACCUGCCAUUUCCCCUAGUUCCAGCAGAUCACCUUAUAUUCCAGUGGUUGAAUUGAGGUUGAGGCCGUCAGGAGAGAUUCCAGUCGCUAGCCCCUUUAUCGCGAGGCUUUCCUGUUAUUAGGAUCUGUUUUGCUUUUGCAUUUUAUAUACUUGUGAUGUGAGUUUUGUAUUGUGGACUUUAUAUCGAACACUUGGGUUUACUACUUUUGGUUUUCCGCUGCGGAUAUAUUUUCAUUACUUCGUGGA